rnacentral:rRNA from 1 species
UACGUAGGGCGCAAGCGUUAUCCGGAAUUAUUGGGCGUAAAGAGCUCGUAGGCGGUUUGUCGCGUCUGCCGUGAAAGUCCGGGGCUCAACUCCGGAUCUGCGGUGGGUACGGGCAGACUAGAGUGAUGUAGGGGAGACUGGAAUUCCUGGUGUAGCGGUGAAAUGCGCAGAUAUCAGGAGGAACACCGAUGGGCGAAGGCAGGUCUCUGGGCAUUAACUGACGCUGAGGAGCGAAAGCAUGGGGAGCGAACAGG